rnacentral:rRNA from 1 species
UGGUGGGAUACCAACCUUGUUUUAUUGGAAUUCUAACGAGAAGCGUAACGAGCUUGCGGACAGUCUCAGGCGGGCAGUUUGACUGGGGCGGUCGCCUCCGAAAGAGUAACGGAGGCGCCCAAAGGUUCCCUCAGCGCGGACGGAAACCGCGCGAAGAGUGCAAAGGCAGAAGGGAGCUUGACUGCGAGACGGACAGGUCGAGCAGGGACGAAAGUCGGGCUUAGUGAUCCGGUGGUAGAGAGUGGAAUUGCCAUCGCUCAACGGAUAAAAGCUACCCUGGGGAUAACAGGCUUAUCUCUCCCAAGAGUCCAUAUCGACGGGGAGGUUUGGCACCUCGAUGUCGGCUCAUCACAUCCUGGGGCUGAAGUAGGUCCCAAGGGUUGGGCUGUUCGCCCAUUAAAGUGGUACGCGAGCUGGGUUCAGAACGUCGUGAGACAGUUCGGUCCCUAUCCAUCGCGGGCGUAAGAAACUUGAAAGGGGCUGCUCCUAGUACGAGAGGACCGGAGUGGACCGACCAAUGGUGUACCAGUCAUGGCGCCAGCCGUGCAGCUGGGUAGCUACGUCGGGGACGGAUAAACGCUGAAAGCAUCUAAGCGUGAAACCAGCCUAGAGAUGAGGUUUCUCAUUGUUUUAACAAGUAAGGUCCCACAAAGACGAUGUGGUUGAUAGGCCGGGAGUGGAAGUACAGCGAUGUACGGAGCGGACCGGUACUAAUAGACCGAGGACUUGACUUA